UCAAAACUUUUACUCCUUCCCACUUUUCCCCCAAAACUUUUACUCCCCUCCCCUCCCAACCCCCAAUCUACUCAAAAUACAUUUCCUACCAAAAUUUUACUCUUCCAUUCAUUUUUUUUCAAAAUUUUACUCUCAAAAACCCUCAAAACUUUUUAUUUUCCCCCAAAAUUUUUACUCCCUCCCACUUUUCCCCUAAAAUUUUUAUUCUCUUCCCAUCCCACCUCCCACCUCCCAUCUACCCCAAACCCUCCCCCCUCCAAUUUUUUUUUAAUAUUUUCCCUCCAAAAUUUUACUCCCCCUAUUUACUUUCCCUCAAACUUUUAUUCCCCAAAACUUUUUAUUUUCCCCCUAAACUUUUACCUCUCAC
rnacentral:lncRNA from 1 species